CUUACUAGUAAAUGUUGAAAUUAACAUUAGCUAAGAUUAAUAAAUGCUUCAGAAGUAUUUAUCAUUGACAGUUCAGGUUAACUAAUGUUAAUAAAUGAAACAUUGUAAAGUGUUAUGAGAAUGUUUUAUACAGUAAAGCAAUGCACAGAUAUAUAAACGAAUAGUCGGUGAUUAAAAGAUACAAUUUAUACGACAUUUUUAUUACAAAAAAAAAAAACAAGUAAAGGACAAUUGUUUAAGUAAAAGGCAUGCCAUUCCAAAAAAAUGGGAUGGCUUAAGAUAUAUUAGUUAAUAAAGUCUGCGCUUUCUCUAUCUUUUCUUAACACCAGCUUAUUUCAGAGGGAGGAUAGAGGGGUUUCCUCCUGAGACCGGAGAGGAACAGAUUGUGGAAUUACUAUUGGGCUACAGGAGUACCGGACCUGCAGGCUUCUGGCACAUGAAGAAUCACUGGAGCAUAUGUCGCCAGCAUGAUUCAUUCAUUUACAUUUAUAGAGUGGAAGUGGGCCAGGUAGCACACCGUGGUGACUGUCAACAGCACCUCCAUCUUCACACACUUCACAUACACCCGUCCCACCAUCCGACCAUAUGUCCCGAGAAACACAAUUUCUAAUGGACAAGGACAGCUGUAUCAGGUAUUUGGUUUCGCUAAUCAAGUGAGACCUUUCACUGAAUGCUGCUUACUCUCAGUUAGUCCUAGUGAGCAGCAUAGCCAUCCUUCCCCUGAGCAUUACAUCAUUCUGAGGGACAACCGAGCCAAUCAACAGCCUGGCAGGAUUACGCAGCAUAUGGGCAUGUCCUGACUGUGAGGGAGAGCUAAACAGAGCAACUGUCAAUGGUGAAAUGGUGUGUGGGUGUCCGACACAGUAAUGGGUCAAUCACUCCGAAAAUAAGACUUUUUCUUCUGACUGAGCACGGAAGAGCUCUGUUCUCACCUAAUGUUGUGAAGCCUCCCCUGGUAGUCGCACCCCUAGUCCAAACAGUAGUCCCUGUUAUCUGGGGCCCCUGUGUUGCCUGGUACUGCAGGACCUUGGAGGACCCUCCACCCUCUCUGAACAGAGCAGCUCCCCAGCGUAGAGGCUACAUUGGCUGGCUUAUCUCGUCGCCUUUUGGUCCCGAAAGGCCUGUGCCCCGUUCUUCUGUGUCUAAUCUACAGCCACCGCUCCUACUGGUUCAGCAGCACUGGCACACUGGAAAUUAAGCAUGCAAAGAGCAAUCCCAGAACUGAUAUUCACAGACAUUUCAGAGCGGAAAUCCAGUCUCUGAGUCUGUUAUUCGCUAGUGUAUUAUUUAUACUGUAUAAAACAAAGAACAAUUCACUUCAACGGGAUAUAGUGAAGACAUAACCAAUAGCAGCAGGAUGUAUUGUCUUCUCAUCACCGGAUUUAUGUUUGAUAUGAGAGAAUGAGUGAGAGGUCUGAACAGCCAUCCUUAGAGAGUAGAUGAGGAAAUGACCUCAUGCAGUAUGUGCGGAGGCGCUCCCCUAAUCAGUGGCUCAUUUCUGCUCUCUGCCCCCAGGCAGAUCUCUCUAACACGUACUUCAGUUUAGAUACUGGAUAUCCAAUGUUCCUGUUCGUGUUUUUUGGGGCCAAGCGCAGAAGGUUCACCAGAGGUGCAUAGCCCCUGUUGUUUUUGUAAGAGAAAUGCUUCCCCUGCAAUGGCAGUCUAUGGCAACCCAUUUGGAGGAAGGUUGUCAAAUUUGGCACGCUGAUUGAGAGGGGUCUUUCCCAGUCAAACCCUCUGGCCAUCAGCUUAAAAUGAUUUGUUAUGACCUUUAAACCCUUUGGUUUAGAAAACUGUUCCUUCUUCAUCUGCUUUUGCUAAUCAUCUUCAGUUAGUGUUUCUGAGUUCCACUAUCUUUGUCAUUUGAAAUUAUUAUUAUACUACAGUGUGUUUCACUACUCCUCCCAUUCCUUUUCCAACUUUAACAUAUAUGAUGCUCAGAUCAAAUCUCAUAAAAGUUAUUUUUGAGUUGCAUCACAUUAUUGAAUUAAGUCGACAAUAUCAAAGUCAGACUGUAUCUCAAAAGUAAAAUUGUUUAGGUUUGGUUGUGACUGUGAUUGUAAUUAAUGGUAUGUAAUUUCUGAUCACCUUCUAAUGGUCAGAAAAUCAUAAAAUUUGAUUAAAAUGCUUGUUUGUGUAGGUUUGGUUGUGACUGUGGUUGUAAUUAAAUGCUAUGUAAUCUCUGAUCACCUUCUAAUGAAUCUAAAUCAUAAAAUUUGAAUAAAAUGCUUGCAAA
ensembl:lncRNA